rnacentral:tRNA from 1 species
AAAGAAUUAGUUAAAUAAAUAACAUUAGAAUGUCAAACUGAAAUUAUUAAUAAUUAAUAUUCUUUA